GGGCUCUUGGCACAGGGGUAGCGCGCACGCUUCGCAUUUGUGAAUUGCGUGAGGUCGUGGGUUCAAUUCCCACAGUGUCCA
rnacentral:tRNA from 1 species